CUCCAUGUGUCUUUGGGACCUGUCAACUGUGGCAGUCUCCCUUCCUAGCCAUGGAA
rnacentral:snoRNA from 1 species